rnacentral:rRNA from 1 species
GACGAACGCUGGCGGCGUGCCUAAUACAUGCAAGUUGAGCGCUGAAGGUUGGUACUUGUACCAACUGGAUGAGCAGCGAACGGGUGAGUAACGCGUGGGGAAUCUGCCUUUGAGCGGGGGACAACAUUUGGAAACGAAUGCUAAUACCGCAUAAAAACUUUAAACACAAGUUUUAAGUUUGAAAGAUGCAAUUGCAUCACUCAAAGAUGAUCCCGCGUUGUAUUAGCUAGUUGGUGAGGUAAAGGCUCACCAAGGCGAUGAUACAUAGCCGACCUGAGAGGGGGAUGGGCCACAUGGGAACUGGACACCGGCCAAAACCCCUACGGGAGGAACAGGAGGGGAACCUUCGGCAAUGGAGGAAAGCUGGACGGACAACGGCGGCGGGAGUGAGGAAGGUUUCCGGUCCGUAAACCCCUGUUGGUGGGGAAGAACGUGGUGGGGAGUGAAAGGCCCACAAGUGACGGUAACCAACCAAAAAGGGACGGCUAAAUUACUG